UAUCCUUAUGGAAAAUUCAACAUUAAUAUUAUAAUAUUUAUUUAUAAAUCAUUAUAAAAAUAGUGUGCAAUUUUUCCAUAUAAGGACAUUGUAAUCUGUUAAUGUAAUAAAUAUUUAUCAUAAGAUUCAAUAAAUAAAAGUUUAUUCAAAUUAGUUAUUUUCCGAUUUCUAACAUAGAAUAAAUUUAAUUGAAUUUGAUAAAUCAUUGACAGAUUUAUUUAUAUAUAGUGCUUAAAUUCUUAAUUGAAUUUUACAAUAAUAUUUAAAUGUAUUUUCAUUUAUUUAUUUAUUGUAUGCACUUAUAUGAUUAACAAUGCUAUAGAUUCAGGAUACCUUCGGGACCCGUCUUGAAACACGGACCAAGGAGUCUAACAUAUGUGCAAGUCAUUGGGUAUUUUUAAUAAAACCCAAAGGCAUAAUUAACUUAACUGUUUUAUAUAUAUAUGGGAUUAGUUUAUAUUUUAUUAUGAAAUAUUAAUUCAAUCCCAGGGCGUUCUAUAUAGUUAUGUAUGAUAAUAUUUAUAUUAUUUAUGCCUCUAACUAGAGCGUACCUUGAGCAUAUAUGCUGUGACC
rnacentral:rRNA from 1 species